AGACUUUCGCUGUAUGCAUAUUUAAUGUAUGACGUCACCCACACAGAGUGAGAGUUCGAGGUUUUCUUUGAAAGUUUGAUGGAGAAUGUACAGAGACUUGUCGCAGUUAAUGCAGUACCAAAUGCUUGCUUUCUUGGAGUAUGUGCUUGAAACAAGAAUGUCCUGGAGAAAACAGACCACCACAAAAGAAGGGAUUGAAAAGGAGGGCUUCCUGUUGAGAGAUCAUGGGGUGCCUUGAGGUUCCAGUCUUGAUGUUCUGCCCCUUACCUCAAAGCGAUGGCCUCUUGUGCCUGACAUAUUAGGAGCAAAGCACAAUGGACUGCUGGCUUAUUGGAAUUGGUUACAAAGAUGCAAGUGGACUUGUCUGUAGUAGUUGCUGAAGAGGAGCAGUCAGCAUAAGGAGUGUGUGCCUCCAAAACAAUGUGGGAACUUCUCCCAAGUUCAUCUCAAAUCACUAGGCUCUUCAGGAAUCAAGAUGUAACAAUGGAGGUUGAGAAGGAGUUUGCGACCCUCCUGAUUUGGACUACUCGCUAUAUACAUUCUCA